AUAUGAAAAAUUAAAUGUUUUUGUAAGGAAGGUUUCCCAAUGUAUGCCAUAAACAACAGAAUGUGUAGAAUAACUAGGUACACAGCAGCAAAGAGCUUCAUGAUAAAAAUAGAGGAGCUCUCCAGUUUGAGUAACCGGAACCAAGAUUAAACUCAACCAGUUUGGCAGUCUGUCCAAUCCGGUUGUAGUGCUUCAGCUACCCUAUCAAUCUUCAAAGAUAAUCAAUUCCAGUGUAAUGGAUUUUAAGUAACAUCCAGCAUAACCCCAACCCCAACACCCCCCCCCCCCCAAAAA